GACGGAAGGUGCAAGCGUUGCUCGGAAUCACUGGGCGUAAAGGGUGCGUAGGCGGCGCGGUAAGUCGGGUGUGAAAUCUCGGAGCUUAACUCCGAAACUGCAUUCGAUACUGCCGUGCUUGAGGACUGGAGAGGAGACUGGAAUUUACGGUGUAGCGGUGAAAUGCGUAGAUAUCGUAAGGAAGACCAGUGGCGAAGGCGGGUCUCUGGACAGUUCCUGACGCUGAGGCACGAAGGUCAGGGGGGCAAACGGG
rnacentral:rRNA from 1 species